rnacentral:rRNA from 1 species
AGGCAGUGGAGGACCGAACCCACAUCCGUUGAAAAGGGUGGGGAUGAGGUGUGGAUAGGGGAGAAAUUCCAAUCGAACCCGGAGAUAGCUGGUUCUCCUCGAAAUAGCUUUAGGGCUAGCCUCGGUAGAGAUUAGCGGAGGUAGAGCACUGAAUUUCCUAGGGGGCGUCAAAGCCUACCGAAGAAUAUCAAACUCCGAAUGCCGCAGAAUUGCUUACCGGGAGUCAGACUGCACGAGAUAAGUUGGGCAGUCGAAAGGGAAAGAGCCCAGACCUUCAGUUAAGGUCCCAAAGUGCGCGUUAAGUGGAAAAGGAUGUGGGAUUUCAAAGACAACCAGGAUGUUGGCUCAGAAGCAGCCAUUCAUUCAAAGAGUGCGUAAUAGCUCACUGGUCGAGAGGUCCUGCGCCGAAAAUGUCCGGGGCUGAAACGCGCCACCGAAACUAAGGAAUCAGAAAUGAUUGGUAGAGGAGCAUUGCAUGUGGGACGAAGCAGUACCGUAAGGAGCUGUGGACUGCAUGGAAGAGAGAAUGCCGGAAUGAGUAGCGAGAAUAAGGUGAGAAUCCUUAUGGCCGAAUAUCCAAGGUUUCCAGGGUAAAGCUGAUCUGCCCUGGGUAAGUCGGGGCCUAAGGCGAGGACGAGAGUCGUAGCCGAUGGACAACAGGUGGAGAUUCCUGUACUGCGGUAUAACAGAACUGUGGGGACACGUGCAGAAAGCGGGAGCCGGGAACGGAAAGCCCGGUGCAAGUGAGGUACCAGACACAUUGGAAAAUCCGUGUGUCAAUGGGAAGACACGAUGCGGACCGAAAGAAAGUAGGGAAGCCCGUGAGCUGUGCGUCAAGAAAAGCCGCUAUAGUUUAUACCGUACCCGUACCGUAAACCGACACAGGUGGAUGAGGAGAGAAUCCUAAGGCCGGCGGAAGAAGCAUUGUCAAGGAACUCGGCAAAAUGACCCCGUAACUUCGGGAGAAGGGGUGCCACUGAGAAGUGGCCGCAGAGAAUAGGCUCAAGCAACUGUUUAGCAAAAACACAGGUCUAUGCGAAACCGAAAGGUGAGGUAUAUGGGCUGACGCCUGCCCGGUGCUGGAAGGUUAAGAGGAGAGGUUAGCGGAAACGCGAAGCUUUGAAUUUAAGCCCCAGUAAACGGCGGCCGUGACUAUAACGGUCCUAAGGUAGCGAAAUUCCUUGUCGGGUAAGUUCCGACCCGCACGAAAGGCGUAAUGAUUUGAGCGCUGUCUCGACAAUGCAUCCGGUGAAAUUGAAGUACCAGUGAAGAUGCUGGUUACCUGCGCCAGGACGGAAAGACCCCAUGGAGCUUUACUCCAGUUUGGUACUGGGGUCCGGUAUUGCAUGUACAGGAUAGGUGGGAGGCUAGGAAGCAGUGACGCCAGUUGCUGCGGAGCCGCUGUUGGGAUACCACCCUUGCAGUACUGGGCUUCUAACCAGCCGCCGUGAACCGGCGGUGGGACAAUGCCAGACGGGGAGUUUGACUGGGGCGGUCGCCUCCGAAAGGGUAUCGGAGGCGCCCAAAGGUUCCCUCAGAAUGGACGGAAACCAUUCGAAGAGUGCAAAGGCAGAAGGGAGCUUGACUGCGACACCGACGGGUGGAGCAGGUACGAAAGUAGGGCUUAGUGAUCCGGUGUUAUUAAGUGGGAAUGCCAUCGCUCAACGGAUAAAAGCUACCCUGGGGAUAACAGGCUUAUCACUCCCAAGAGUUCACAUCGACGGAGUGGUUUGGCACCUCGAUGUCGGCUCAUCGCAUCCUGGGGCUGUAGUAGGGCCCAAGGGUUGGGCUGUUCGCCCAUUAAAGCGGUACGCGAGCUGGGUUCAGAACGUCGUGAGAC